GGCCUAACCCCUAAAGGGUUUCAAAAAUCUUUAGGGUAUGGCUGCAAAUCGCGACGAACAUAAAGAACCCGUUAUCAGGGCGUUCGUCGCGUUACCAGGGGAAACUCUGGUAGAGGUUACCGCAAGGUGCCUU
rnacentral:sRNA from 1 species